GGCACUAUAGCUAAGUGGUAAAGGUGAUCGGCCGUAAUCGAAACUGUGUCCGUGGCGCCGUAGGUUCGAACCCUACUAGUGUCU
rnacentral:tRNA from 1 species